UACAGAGGGUGCAAGCGUUAAUCGGAAUUACUGGGCGUAAAGCGUGCGCAGGCGGUUUUGUAAGUCUGUUGUGAAAUCCCCGGGCUCAACCUGGGAAUGGCAAUGGAGACUGCAAGGCUAGAGUUUGGCAGAGGGGGGUAGAAUUCCACGUGUAGCAGUGAAAUGCGUAGAUAUGUGGAGGAACACCGAUGGCGAAGGCAGCCCCCUGGGUCAAAACUGACGCUCAUGCACGAAAGCGUGGGGAGCAAACAGG
rnacentral:rRNA from 1 species